GCACACAAAGACACUUGCUGACAAACGUGUAUGUUGUUGUUAUUUCUGCAGUUGCAUGUAGCAACAAAUUGAAGCAAACUUUUGCUUGUAUGAAUGAAAUUUGCGUUUUUGUUUAUUUUAGUGCUGUUCGUGCUUACGGCAGUUAUUCGACUUCUAUGCUACACACGGCUGUACUUGACUCACGAAAUGCUGCGAACGAACUAAAAGCUGGGCAAGGACGACAUACGAUUUAAAAACUCAUGAAUAGCUUGCAAAGGACGCACAACUGCUAUGAUUAAGCAGGAAGCGAAGAAGGCUUUCAGCCGAUGUUUUUGUAGCGAAAACUGCGACGUAAUUGUGGAUAGUGUCAGUCAGCAGUGAGGAGAGAGGUUAUAUUAGUGAGAACACCAAGCAUUAAGUGAGGGAACUAAGUAAGAGAGAGAGAGAGAGAGAGCAUGUACGUUUAUCAGAGCAAAUGCACUUUGAAGUGUGUGGCUGAGUAAGAACUGAAGUAAAGGAUGUCAAACCGCAUGGGGAAUGUGGCUAUAAAAUAUUGCAGUUAAAGUUAAAGUAUAUUUCAAGGAAAAAUGCAUAUAAAUGCAAUAGUUGUUUUUAAUGUACACAUAAAUGUUUUAAAACAACCAGGGUCACAGGACGUAUGAGUAACAAAUAAUUAAUGUGCAGCCGCAUACGCCCUGGGCCACAUAUGCUUGACAAAAAAUAAAUAAAAAAUGCAAAUGCAAUGCAAGUGAGCCUGGAGCGGCGCGGCGUGGAUGCAAAAAGUGCAAUGCAGUGGGCGAACUUGAAUGAGAAAUUAAUAGCAAGCUGGGUGUGCGUGGGCGUAAUAACAAAUGCAAAGGCAUAGCCAUACAUGCGAGCGAGUCCUGUAUGUUCCUGUGAACGAGGCGUCCUUUGCCAAGCAAUUACACUUAACUUUUUAUAGGUGUGCUACGCUGCUGCGCAUACGAUGGAAAGAAACA